GACGAACGCUGGCGGCGUGCUUAACACAUGCAAGUCGAACGGAAAGGCCCUGCUUUUGUGGGGUGCUCGAGUGGCGAGCGGGUGAGUAACACGUGAGUAACCUGCCCUUGACUUUGGGAUAACUUCAGGAAACUGGGGCUAAUACCGGAUAGGAGCUCCUGCUGCAUGGUGGGGGUUGGAAAGUUUCGGCGGUUGGGGAUGGACUCGCGGCUUAUCAGCUUGUUGGUGGGGUAGUGGCUUACCAAGGCUUUGACGGGUAGCCGGCCUGAGAGGGUGACCGGCCACAUUGGGACUGAGAUACGGCGCAGACGCGUACGGGAGGCAGCAGUGGGGAAUAUUGCACAAUGGGCGGAAGCCUGAUGCAGCAACGCCGCGUGCGGGAUGACGGCCUUCGGGUUGUAAACCGCUUUCGCCGGUGACGAAGCGUGAGUGACGGUAAUGGGUAAAGAAGCACCGGCUAACUACGUG
rnacentral:rRNA from 1 species